rnacentral:rRNA from 1 species
GAUGAACGCUGGCGGCGUGCCUAAUACAUGCAAGUCGAGCGAACAGACGAGGAGCUUGCUCCUCUGACGUUGGCGGCGGACGGGUGAGUAACACGUGGAUAACCUACCUACAAGACUGGGAUAACUUCGGGAAACCGGAGCUAAUACCGGAUAACAUGUUGAACCGCAUGGUUCAACAGUGAAAGACGGUCUUGCUGUCACUUAUAGAUGGAUCCGCGCCGCAUUAGCUAGUUGGUAAGGUAACGGCUUACCAAGGCAACGGUGCGUAGCCGACCUGAGAGGGGGAUGGGCCACACUGGAACUGAGACACGGUCCAGACCCCUAGGGGAGGCAGCAGGAGGGAAUUUUCCGCAAUGGGCGAAAGCCUGAGGGAGCAACGCCGGGUGGGUGAUGAAGGGCUGCGGAUCGUAAAACUCUGUUAUUAGGGAAGAAAAAAUGUGUAAGUAACGAUGCACGUUUUGACGGUACCUAAGCAAAAAGCCACGGCUAACUACGU